rnacentral:lncRNA from 1 species
GCACCAUUUUAAACAAAUCAUUAUAAAUACAAAAACAUUAAUUGACAUUAUCAUAAUAAAUAGAAAUUUAACAUCAUAUUUAUAUACACAAAACAAAUAUAAUAUUGUAAAAUAAUUUUAUAGUAGAAAAAUAUAAAUAUAUUGCACCAAUAACACUUCAUUACACACAUUCAGUCAAAUGAACUACCUUUACAUAUAUACCUC